rnacentral:rRNA from 1 species
AUGUCGAAGCAGAGCAGUGGCAGUCUGUGUUCAGUGCUCAUGUUCAGAAGAAAACGAUUAAUUGAAAAAAUUAAAGAGGAUGGUUUUCAGUUCCCAGUCUAUUCCUCUCCCUCAUUAAUCAGUUUUACUUCUCUGUCAACACUGGGGGUUUUGAUUCACAUAAAUAUGUGUCUUGAAGUGUUGAAUGUGGCUUGUGACUUUUGGGUUCUCCAUACAGCCAUACUAUUUAUCUGUGACGUGUGCGCUAGCACUGCUGACAACACCCCUUUGGAUCCGUGGCAACUGGCAUCCUUGCAAACCUCCUGA